UACGAAGGGGGCUAGCGUUGUUCGGAAUUACUGGGCGUAAAGCGCGCGCAGGCGGCUAUCCAAGUCAGUGGUGAAAGCCCGGAGCUCAACUCCGGAACUGCCAUUGAAACUGUUUAGCUUGAGGAUGAGAGAGGUGUGUGGAACUCCGAGUGUAGAGGUGAAAUUCGUAGAUAUUCGGAAGAACACCAGUGGCGAAGGCGACACACUGGCUCACUACUGACGCUGAGGCGCGAAAGCGUGGGGAGCAAACAGG
rnacentral:rRNA from 1 species